rnacentral:rRNA from 1 species
GAUGAACGCUGGCGGCGUGCUUAACACAUGCAAGUCGAACGGAAAGGCUCCUGCUUGCCGGGGUACUCGAGUGGCGAACGGGUGAGUAACACGUGGGUGAUCUGCCCUGCACUUCGGGAUAGGCCUGGGAAACUGGGUCUAAUACCGGAUAGGACCACAUUUUGGUGGUUGUGGUGGAGAGUUUUUCGGUGUGGGUUGGGCUCGCGGCGUAUCAGCUUGUUGGUGGGGUAAUGGCCUACCAGGGCGCGGAGGGGUAGCCGGCCUGAGAGGGUGUACGGCCACAUUGGGACUGAGAUACGGCCCAGACUCCUACGGGAGGCAGCGGUGGGGAAUAUUGCACAAUGGGCGCAAGCCUGAUGCAGCGACGCCGCGUGGGGGAUGACGGCCUUCGGGUGGUAAACUCCUUUCGCUAGGGACGAAGCGUAAGUGACGGUACCUGGAGAAGAAGCACCGGCUAACUACGUG